UCUCUCUGAAUCUGCGAACGGCUCCGCAAACCAGUUGUAAACCAUAGCAAGCACGCCUUGGGCCGCCGCAAGGCGGUCCUUGGCUAUAAGGAUAACCCUGGUAAUUCUGAGGCUAAUACAUGAACGUAACCCCCGGCCCAACGGGCAACUGGAAGCCGGGGACCGUGCGAGUAGGCGCAACGUUUUAUCGGAGUAGUCGCACAGUACGACCACCAUCCAAACGGUAUCCGCUUCGCUGCCUCACGGCGGCUGGCGGUGUCCGGGUGGCUCUUGCAAGGUGCUUCUGACCUAUCAACUAGAUGGCAGCGUAACGGACAUGCUAUGGUGACAACGGGUACAGAGGAUAAGGGUUCGAUCCUGGAGAGUGGGCCUGAGAGAUUGCUCACACUUCUAAGGAAGGCAGCAGGCGCGCAACGUUCCCCUUGGGCAAAGCUCGAGGGCGUUAGGGGACAUAUGAAUGCCUGCCUUAUGGUGGGCAAUUCAAAUGGGUCUGUUCUAAACAGCCUCUCGA
rnacentral:rRNA from 1 species